rnacentral:misc_RNA from 1 species
AGCACUGGUGAGGGAAUGGGUAUUGAUUUCGUGUUCCCUAUGGCAUUUGCAAAAUCUCAAAUUGCUACUGGGCAGAAUCUAUCACUUUCUGGCACUGUGUUCAUAAGCUUCAAUGACUUGACAAAACGCCAUCUUGAAAAGCUUGCGAAAGCCUUUUCAGGACUUGGGUUCUGGAUUAUUUCAACUUCAGGAACAGCUAAUUUUCUUGAGUUGAAAGAUAUCCCUGUGUAUCGAGUGCUGAAGAUGCAUGAUGGGCGGCCACAUGCUGGUGAUAUGCUUGCUAAUGGGCAAAUCCAGUUGAUGGUGAUCACAAGCUCUGGUGAUGCACUUGAUCAAAUUGAUGGCCGG